rnacentral:lncRNA from 1 species
CCCGGCCUCCUGUGGCACUGGCUAGCCAGAUCUCUGGGAACCAUCCCAGCGCAGGUGGCUCUGCAGGAGGCCAACUCAUUACCCAGCAAUGGCCUUGCCUGAUGUGGGUAACAAGCUCAUUACCUGGUGAUGACCUUGUUUGUCUGUUCCUGGUGUCAGCAGCCUCAGCUCUCCCUGCAAGGAAUGUCUAGCCUGGGGUGGGUCUGACCAGUCUGUGCCACAGGCACCAGCAUCCCAGUCUGCACUGCAUGGGGUGUCGGGUCUGACAGCAUCUACCUAUAUGUGCCCUGAGGGCCCAGACUCAGCCCCCAGUGGGAAGACUCCGGGCUCCUGAUGGACCCCUCCCAAUUGCACAACCUGAGCAGGUGGUUUGAAGAAGUUGGCUGGGAAGGAGAUGGAGGACUCCAGCUCCCUGGGGAAUUCUUCAUGAAUGGCGUCGAACCAUGGGACUCUGGCUCCCGUGAAGUUGAACUUGUCAAAGAUGUCGACAGCAAGAACUGGGGGGACAGUUCAUUUAAUCAGACAUCACUCCCAGGGCUUUCUUGAACCCUUGCUGUUAUCAAAAUGACCACAACUGUCACACUGACACUGGCUGGACAUAUUUAUUAAUUAAUUUAUUUUUUAUUAUUAAUUUUUUUGAAACGGUGUCUCACAGUGUCGCUCAGGCUGGAGUGCAGUGGUGCAAUCUCUGCUCACUGCAACCUCUGCCUCCUGGGUUCAAGCAGUUCCCCUGCCUCAGCCUCCCGAGUAGCUGAGAUUACAGGCACACACCACCAUGCCCGGCUAAUUUUUUGUAUUUUUGGUAGAGAAUGGGUUUCACCAUGUUGGCCAGGCUGUUCUCAAACUCUUGAUCUCAAGUGAUCUGCCUCCCUCGGCCUCCCAAAGUGCUGGAAUUACAGGCAUGAGCCACCGUGCCCAGCCUACUUAUUUAUAUGUAUUUUUUAAGACAGGGUCUCACUCUGUCACCCAGGCUGGAGUACAGUGGUGCAAUCUCAGCUCACUGUAGCCUCAACCUCCUGGGCUCAAGCGAUCCUCCCACCUUAGCCUCCUGAGUAGCUGGGAAUACAGGAGCAUGCCACCACACCUGGCUAAUUUUUUUUUAAAUAGAGAUGGGGUCUCACUAUGGCACCCAGGCUGGUCUCGAACUCCUGGGCUCAAGCAAUCUGCCCACCUCAGCCUCCCACAAUGCAGGGAUUACAGGUGUGAACCGCCAUAUCCAGUUGACUAACCAUCUUUAGAACAGAAGCGACUUCCAACUUCCUGCAUCCCAUGUGUACCUACACCUGUCUGCAGUGAGCCUGAAGUGAGGCAGGAUCCUCGACACUCACUCUUCUAGAGUCUCACACCUGAGGGUCUGGAAGGCCUGCCAAACCCCCAAGAUCACGGCCUAACAUCUCCCAAGCCCAGGACCUGUCCCCUGGGAGCCAUGGGUGUGUCAUUGCAGACUGUCUUCCCAAAGGCUCCAUUUACAGAUGAGGAAAUGGAGGCCUUGCUGCUGAACCUUUUUUUUUUUUUUUUUUUUUUUUUUGAGAUGGAAUUUCCCUCUAUCGCCCAGGCUGGAGUGCAGUGGCACCAUCUCAGCUCACUGCAAGCUCCGCCUCCCAUGUUCACGCCAUUCUCCUGCCUCAGCCUCCCGAGUAGCUGGGACUACAGGCGCCUGCCACCACGCCCAGCUAAUUUUUGUAUUUUUAGUAGAGACGGGGUUUCACCAUGUUAGCCAGGAUGGUCUCGAUCACCUGACCUCGUAAUCUGCCCCUCCUCGGCCUCCCAAAGUGCUGGGAUUACAGGCAUGAGCCACCGCACCCGGCUUUUUUUUUUUUUUUUUGACAGAGUCUCCCCGUCACCCAGGCUGGAAUGCAAUAGUGCAAUCUUGGCCCACUGCAACCUCUGCCUCCCAGGUUCAAGUGAUUCUCCUGCCUCAGCCUCCCAAGUAGCUGGGAUUACAGGCAUGCACCAUCACACCUGGCUACUUUUUGCAUUUUUAGUAGAGACAGGGUUUCACCAUGUUGCCCAGGCUGGUCUCCAACUCCUGACUGCAUGUGAUCUGCCUGUCUCGGCCUCCAAAAGUUCUGGGAUUAUAGGCGUGAGCCACUGCGCCCAGCCUCUGAAUCAUUUUUCUAAGAGCAUGGCCAAGUGGGGGCCGGGAGCCCACCUGCUCCACCCAUGGGGACCCAGCUCCUGGGCGCACCCCUGAGGGUUGCAGGCCUCCACCCCCAACGCAGCCAGUGCCUUACUCAUGUUGGUGGUGACGAUGACAAAGGGCUGCAGGUACGUCCACUGCACGUUGCGUGCCACAUUGCUGAAGUAGCCCUCGAGGCGCCGGAGCAGCUGUGCCGUGCCACCCUCGCUCCGCUGGAUCUGCUCCCACGCUGCCCUGGUGGCCGGGGCCAGGAGGGCACUGCCCGAGUGGAUGAUGUUCUGGUCAGACAGACAGCGCUCAGUGCUCAGCCUGCGGAGGCCUGGCUCGUGGGACCGAGGGACAUCAGCCCUGAAAGGCUUUGCUCGCCUAGAGAGCUCAUUCAUUCAUUCCAGCCCUACACUUUAGAUUGUGCUCUUUAAUAUUAGUCUCCAAUUUUUUUUUUUUUUUUUUUUGAGACAGACUUUCGCUCUUGUUGCCCAGGCUAGAAUGCAGUGGCACAAUCUCGGCUCACUGCAACCUCCACCUCCUGGGAGCAAUUCUCCCGCCUCAACCUCCGGAGUAGCUGGGAUUACAGGCACACAUGUGCCACCACUCCCAGCUAAUUUUUGUAUUUUUAAUAGAGACAGGGUUUCACCAUGUUGGCCAGGCUGGUCUUGAACUCCUGUCCUCAGGUGUUCCACCUGCCUAGGCCUCCCAAAGUGCUGGGAUUACAGGCAUGACCCACUGAAACUGGCCUAGUUUUCAAUUUUUUUUUUUAAGUUUAAGAGGAAUAGAAAAAUGUUACUAAGCUCACAAAGUAUAUUAAAAUCCAGAGAAUUAAACGUGCUUCAUAUUUUUAGCUUAAUUUAUUAGAUUUACAAGCACUGUUUAAAUGCUUGGAAGGUCUGUUUGCUAGCCAAACAACUGAUAUAGGAAAAUAAAAAUCAAAUAUAUGACGUAUAUUAAUUCCAUUUAAAAUACUUAAGGGAAUUUCAUGGUUUAAGUUAAUAAAUAGGAUCAAACAUUAAUCAGAGUUGAAUUCAAAGAGACAAGGAAGUCAUUUUUUAGUACUUGAUUUUCAUAAAUCCCGAACCCUACCACAUAAACUAGAGAGACUGUGGGUGAUUCAAUGUCAGAGGCCGGGACUCUGUCAGAGUGAGCCCUGCCAGAGGUUUUUCCACGUACACCUCAAGACGCUAAGGCAGGGAAGACAUGUGGAGACAUCCCUGUUAUAUCAGAAUUCCUCCUGAACCCCACAUUUAAAGCAGUGACGGAAUCACCACACCCUGGGCUGAGCAGAGAAGCCACACUGAGGCUGCCAUGGACAUGCGGACAGCUCCUCUGCGGGUGACCCUCUGCCUCUGCGCACCCCAGGGUCUAUGUGAAUGACUGGGUGGAGGUGUGAGGCUGUGCUUAAGAGUUUGGGGACCACACCCAAGACAGAAACCAGGGCAGACACGGUGGCUCACGCCUGUAAUCCCACCACUUUGGGAGGCUGAGGCGGGUGGAUCACCUGAGGUCAGGAGUUCGAGACCAUCCUGGCCAACAUGGUAAAACCCCAUCUCUACUAAAAAUACAAAAAAUUAGCUGGGCGUGGUGGUGGGCGCCUGUAAUCCCAGCUACUUGGGAGGCUGCGGCAGGGGAAUUGCUUGAACCCGGGAGGUGGAGGUUGCAGUGAGUCAAGAUCACACCACUGCACUCCGGCCUGGGCAACAGAGCAAGACCAUGUCUCGGAAAAAAAAAAAAAAAAAAAAAGACAGAAACCAGGAGGGAAAGCUGUUUACAGAGUCACACGUGGAGAACAAAUGCCACUGGCCCAACUCGCAGGCUGGGACUCAAAUUCCAGCGAGGGGAUCCUUCCUGGUCUCUGGGGGCCCUGUGCAGACCAGAAGGUCUCGUGGGGGCCCUGCAUGGACUGGAGGUCCUGUGGGGGCCCUGCGUGGAUGAGACAACCAGGUUUAGUGUUGGGAGCAGGACACCAGCAUGGGCUAGCCCAGUCCCACCACCUGAACAGAGGGGCUGUGAUCCUCCAAGCUACCCAGGGAAUGUGACACCUGGGUGCACAGCUCGUCCCAAUGGCCAGAAUGUAUGGAAAUCCAAGCGUGGUGGCUCAUGCCUGUAAUCCCAGCACUUUGGGAGGCUGAGGUGGGUGGAUCAGGAGUUUGAGACCAGCCUGGCCAACAUGGUGAAACCCCGUCUCUACUAAAAAAUACAAUAAUUAGCCAGUGGGGGCGGGGGGGUGGCACGGGCCUGUAAUCCCAGCUACUCAGGAGGCUGAGGCAAGACAAUCAGUCGAACCCGGGAGGCAGAGGUUGCAGUGAGCCUAGAUUGAGACGGUAACACUGCACUCCAGCCUGGGCGACAGAGCAAGAUUCUGUCUCAAAAAAUAAAAAAAAUUAAAUAAAUAAAGAAUGUAUGGAAAACGUUAGCACAAAUGGAGAAAGUUAGCUUAACCCUUGAGAGCAGGCAGGCAGGGAAAGGCAGGCCUGGGUGCCCUCCUGGCCCAAGUGGGCUCAAGAGGCCCUGCAUACUCUGGUGGGGGGUGCUCUGAGGGGCAGCAGGGGUCCUGGUGGAGAGUGCUGGCAGGAGGACUCCCAGAGCCAUGCAGCCUGGAUGUGGGAUCGGAUCCUCUUGCAUUGCCUGCUCUACUGGCUCAGAACCCAAAUCCCUCAAAGUGAGGAGUCCCACUCACUGGGAAGCAGUUUUUGGUUCAGACUUCCCAUGGACCCUGGGAAACUUCCUCAGUUGUCCUGAAAGCUCUGCAGGGUGAGACCACUCCUUCCCUCCCACCCCUGAGAAGGGCCUGCACACAGUAGGUGCUCAGUCCACGCACGAGAGCAGGUGACGCUGGGGCCCCUGGGGCUUAGCAGCCGGAAGCCCAGGAGUUCUCUGCCUGGUGCAUGCGUGGCUCACCCUGGGAGCAGGGCUGGGGUGUGCCGGCUGCUCUCCCAGCUGUGGACGCUCACGCCCACCCUAGGUACAGGCUGGCAGGGGCUGCCAGGCUGGGGAGGCUGUGCCUGGGUUUUCCCUGGGGUAAUUUCAAGUAAAGGGUGUUCUUUUCCUGUGCGCCAGUAGACGCUUUGGUCUCAUUCAUGAGGUUUGAUUUUUUUUAAACAUGCAAUCCUACACUUUGGGAGGCCGAGGAAGGUGGAUCACUUGAGGCCAGGAGUUCUUGAUCAGCCUGGCCAACAUGGUGAAACCCCGUCUCUAGUAAAAAUACAAAAACACAGCAGGGUGUGGUGGCACACACCUGUAAUCCCAGCUACUCCGGGGCUGAGGCAGGAGAAUUGCUUGGACCCAGGAGGCAGAGGCUCUAGUGAGCCAAGAUCGCGCCACUGCACUCCUUCCCGGAUGACAGAGUGAGACCCUGUCUCAAAACAAACAAAUACGCAAUUCUUUUUUUUUUUUUUUUUGAGUUGGAGUCUCACUGUCACCCAGGCUGGAGUGCAGUGGCGCGAUCUCGGUUCACUGCAAGCUCCGCCUCCUGGGUUCAUGCCAUUCUCCUGCCUCAGCCUCCCUAAGAGCUAGGACUACAGGCGCCCACCACCACGCCCAGCUAUUUUUUUUUCUUUUCUCUUUUGUAUUUUUAGUAGAGACGGGAUUUCACCGUGUUAGCCAGGAUGGUCUCGAUCUCCUGACCUCAUGAUGCACCUGCCUCAACCUCCCAAAGUGCUGGGAUUACAGGCGUGAGCCACCCCACCCAGACAGUUUGCUUGUUUUUUGAGACAAAGUCUUGCUCUGUCACCCAAGCUGGAGUGCAAUGGCACGAUCUUGGCUCACUGUAACCUCCCCCUCCCAAGUUCAAGCAAUUCUCCUGCCUCAGCCUCCCGAGUAGCUGGGAUUACAGGUAUCCGGCCACCUCAACCAGCUAAUUUUUGUAUUUUUAGUAGAGACAGGGUUUCACCAUGCUAGCCAGGCUGGCCUCAAACUCCUGACCUCAGUGAUCCACCCCCUUCAGCCUCACAAAGUGCUGGGAUUACAGUUGUGAGCCACCACACCCAGUCCCAGUCUUUUUCCUAUAUGUGAUUUACAUUGGUUUUCACAAAAAAUUUAUAGCUAUUUUUUUUUUAAUUUUUAAAUUUUUUGUAGAGAUGGGAUCUCACUAUGUUGCCCAGGCUGGUCUUCAGCUCCUGGUCUCAUGCAGUCCUCCCACCUCAGCCUCCCAAAGUGCUGGGAUUAUAGGCCUGAGCCACUGUGCCACUGUGCCUGACCCUGCAUUUUCACUUAUUGUUACUUUUUCAGCACUCCUCCUUUAAUUCCUAGUACCUGCUAAGACUUCUGUUGAAGCUCACCUGCUUAAUUCCUCUUUGUGAUUACACAAUUUUAUAUUUUGGAAAGCGUCAUUGCCAGGGCUAGGCAUAGUGGUUCACACCUGUAAUCCCAGUAUUUUGGGGAGCCAAGGCAGGAAGAUCGCCUGAGCUCAGGAGUUCAAGACCAGCUGGGCAACAUAGGGAGACUCCAUAUCUUAAAAAAAAAAAAAAAAAAAAAGGAAUGGUGGCACAUGCAUGUUGUCCCAGCUAGUUGUGAGGCUGAGGUGGGAGGAUUGCUUGAGGCCUGGAGGUCAAGGCUGCAGUGAGCCAUGAUUGUGCUACUGCACUACAGCCUGGAUGACACAGCAAGACCCCGUCUCAAAAAAGAAAAGAAAAAAAAAAGAAAUAGGAAAAGAGUCAUUGCCUGGGGUUCAUUUUUUACUUUUUAAAGAGUGCAGAGUAGUUUUUAAUGUAUUUAAAACAUUUCUGAAAAUGGAACAAACUGGAUAAUGUUAUUUUUUAUUUGUUAUUUUAAUUAGGGGCAUUUCUUCUUUCCUCCGUUAAGCAUCAAAACUUGGAGACCAGAUGGCAGAUUUGCACCUUUACAACCAGAAGCUCAGGGAGAAGUUGAAGGAGGAGAACACAGUGGGUAUGUUCAGAUUGCUUUUGGGUACCUUGACCCAGCCACAUUGUCUACCCUAGAUUGGUGCUCAUGGUACUUCUUGGUGGCAUUUCAAUAAUAGGUUGAGUUGUAUACCAUCUCCCUUUACACUACAUUAUGAAAAUGACAUUAUUAAAUAAGAAUUUUGAUGGAGCUGAUAAGCUAGUAGAAUUGGCACAUGACCCCUUUUAUACCCAGCCCUCUUGUCUGGUGUGCUUGAGGUAAUAAUAACCCCUUUUAUACCCAACCCUGCUGUCCAGUGUGCUUCAGGUAGGAGUGUCCUGGCAGAUCCAUAUAUUGACUAAUUGCUACUGUAUGUAGUACAUCCUUAGACCACCCAUAUUCUAGCAUGUGCAGCCCAGGCUUGUACUGAUGCUCUGCUGAGGUCUGGCAUUUAAGAGAAAGACAAACAGCUCCUUCAGGCCAAGGAUCUCUGUCAACAGGCUGAAGAGGUGAGGGUGCUGAGCCUCAGUAUGUGACCAAGUUUGGCUUCCACAUGGUGAUGUGCUGUGGCUUCAUCCCACAGGUGAGUGCCUGGGUGAGGGUGUUCCCUGAUGCUCUAAUGCUGGUCACCCACUCAUUUUUUUUUUUUUUUUGAGAUGGAGCCUUGCUCUGUUGCCCAGGCUGGAGUGCAGUGGCGCGAUCUUAGCUCUCCUGGGUUCAUGCCAUUCUCCUGCCUCAGCCUCCUGAGUAGCUGGGACUACAGGCACCCGCCACCACGCCCAGCUAAUUUUUUGUAUUUUUAGUAGAGAUGGGGUUUCACCGUGUUAGCCAGGACGGUCUCGAUCUCCUGACCUCGUGAUCCUCCCACCUCAGCCUCCCAAAGUGCUGGGAUUACAGGUGUGAGCCACCGCACCUGGCGGUCACCCACUCUUUAUAUGUGACAGAAUGCCAGUCCCCUAGGCACCAGCAAGAUUGACUACCUGAUUUCUGAAAGCAGAAUACAAGCUGUGAUACCUGGAAUGGGGAGAGCAGAAGCCGAGAGUCACUGAGCUGAGCCAGGCAGGCUCAUGGGACAUGCUGGGGCAGGCAGAUCAGCAUUCUAAGCAGAGGAAGCCUCAAGUGCAAAGGUGAUGUUGCACAAGGCUCCUGAUGAGUAUGAAGGACUGGAGACAGUUGGGUGACAGGUAGUGUGCCAAGUCAGGGAUUAAGUCCUGAUUAUCAGCUCCUCUCCUGAGGCCUUUACAAAUUAUUAUUUAUUUAGAUACAAUUGAGAUAUAAUUCACAUAAGAUCCACCACUUUAAAGGGUAGAAUUAAUUGGUUUUAGUACAUUCACAAUGGUGUGCAAUCAUCACUGCUGUUUAAUUCCAGAACAUUUUUAUUACCCUAAAGCAGAACCCAUUAGCAGUCACUCCCCAUUUCCCUGUUCCCUGGCCCCUGGCAACCUCUAAUGUAUCUUCCGUCGCUUUGAAUUGACCUAUUCUGGAUAUUUCAUAUGAGUGGAAUCACAUUACAUGUGACCUUUUGUGUCUGGCUUCUUUCACUCAGGAUCAUGCUUCAAGGUUCUUCCAUGUUGUAGCACGUAUUAGAAUGUUAUUUUUUUAUGGCUGAGUAAUAUUCCACUGUAUGGCUAGGCCACAUUUUUGUUUAUGUAUUCCUUUAUAUGGCUGAAUAAUACUGGGGCCUCUUGAACCAUCACCUUUUAAACCUGUGAAGUUCCAAAGAAGGCUUUGGACAACCCAACUGCCCUGUGCUUCCCUCAAAGAAGCCAUUAUUGGACCAUAUUUUGGUUUCGUUAGGGACACAGUGCCCAUUAUAUAAGAGCUAGUCCAGUUUAAAGCUACUGCUUCCCGAAGAGAGCAUACUUUCAAAUCUGUCUCCUCGUGGAAGCCCGUCCUGAUUAGUUGGGUCCCUGCAGACAAUGACCAAGCUCUCCCUGGCGCAGAUGGAGGGUGAGUUCCCCAGCUGGAGGUCACUCAGGGCAAGAUUCUCAUGAAACCCAAGCAGAUUUACGGUUCCCAGCCAACAGGCAGUCCUCACACUGGGCUCGCUAGAACUGCACAAGGAGUUUACCAGAUUUACCAAGACCCCCGAGAUCUCAACCACAGCUGGCUCCCCUGGAGUCACACAGCUGUCCGGAGCCAGUGAGCAGUACCAUCCUCAUAGUCCAGGUGAGGACGGCUGGGUGUAGGUUGUGGUCCUGUUUUUCAGGUCAAGGGGUGCAAGUGGUGGGGUCUACAGGUCUUGGUCCUGUUGCUGAGGUCAAGGGGUACAAGUGAUGGGGUCUACAGGACUUGGCUGGCCCAGCAGAGUGGUGUUUCAAAGAAAUGAAGUGAAAUCUUACCCAGAACCCCUGUGUGUGAAGCAGAUGAGAAGCGGGCUGGUCUGUUUGGAGCACAGGUAGCCCCUCAAUGUCCCUUCAGACUCCAGGAUCAAGGAACCACCUCGGAUCAGCUGCAGCCUGGCUAGGAAGGGUGAGGGGCCAGGGAGGACACCUGCCCUGCUUCCUGCGUGUCGUGCCUCGGACAGCACCAGGUUCCGGAGGCUUCCCACUCCUUGGGAGGGCUGAAUGAGUCCUGGGGGAGUGUGUGCUGCAGCCACUCGGGGGCAGUGCUGAAGAGUGGGCUCCUCAGAUGCCUGGGGCACUAAGGCCCACUGGAGCCACCAGCUAGGUCGGCUGCAGUGAUUGCCCCAUGCUCUGUACACUGCCACAUACCAGGCACCGUUCUAAGUGCUUCAUCGGACUCAACUCACCCACUUGCCCCAGCAGGUAACCAGGCAGAUGUCACUGAUCGGUUUUACAGAUGAGGAAACUGAUGUGCAGAGUGACACUCCUGAGACCGUGAAGCUUGUAAAUGGGGCAGCUGGGUUUUGACCCUCAGUCUGGCUUUAGAGCACAGGCCCUGACCAUGACACGGCCCUGCCCCUCUGUCAAGGGGAGGCCUGACCAUUGGGACCAGCUGUGCACCCAGGUGGCACCUUCCCUGGGUAGCUUGGAGGAUCACAGCCCCUCUGUUCAGGUGGUGGGACUGGGCUAGCCCAUGCUGGUCUCCUGCUCCCAACACUAAACCUGGCUGUCUUCCAGAAAGAGGACAGAGCUCAGACACUGAGAGCUUGGGCAGGCAAAUGGGAAAUGACGGGAGGCUGCACGGUGCACCUCUGUGCCGGGGGUCUGACAGCCAGGCUGUGGGGAGGGGACCUUUCCAUCCUGCUCUUGAGGUGCACACAGCACCAGAGGGUGAGCCCAGGGGCCGAGUCACCACAGCACCCAUGUGCAGGGAGAGUCUCGAUGGUGAGGGCCGCUGACCAGGACGGUCCUCCUCAAAAGAGUUUUACAAAAUAACCCUUUGCAUAAAAUAAGCAUUGUAUUUUUCUCUGUUGAGGUGUAAUUGACAUAAAUUGCACCCAUUUAAAACGUAUAAUUUGGUACCUUUUGACAUGUUUGUACCUGUGAACCUCUGACCACAGUUGAGGUGGUUACCCCCAAAAGGUUCCCCGUGCCCUUCCCUGCCCCGGGCAACCAUUCUUCUAUAUUGUCACUGUAGAUUAGUUUACAUCUUGUGGAAUUUAAUCUAAACAGAAACAUACAGUAUGUACUCCUUUUUGUCUGACUUCUUUCACUCAGCAUAAUCAUUCUGAUAUUUAUCCAUGUCUAAAAUCCUUUGAUAUUCAUCCAUGAUACACAUCCACGUUGCAUGUGUCAAAAGUCAAUUCCACUGUAUUGAUAUCACAUAGCCUGUUUAUCCAUUCACAUGUGGACAGACUUCUGGGUCAUUUCCAGUUUUUGCUUAUACGAAUAAAGCUGCUAUAAACCUUUGUAUACAAAUCUUUGUCUGGACAAAUGCUUCCACUUAUCUUGGGUAAAUACCUAGGAGGGGAAUGACUGUCAUAUGGUAGGUUCAUAUUUAACUCUUUAAGAAACUACCAAACUAUUUUCCAAAGUGGUUGCAUCAUGUUAUAUUCCCACCAACAGCGUAUGAGAGUUCCAGUUCCUCCACAUCCUUCCUAACACUUGAUAUUUUCUGUUUUAAAUUACAGCCAUCCUAGUGGGUGUGAAAUAUUAUCUCACUGAGGUUCUAUUUUGCAUUUCCAUAAUGACUAAAGAUGUGGAGCAUCUAUUCAGGUGCCUGUUUGCUGACAAAAUGUCUUCUUUGGUGAACCAUCUGUUCAAUUAUUUUGCCCAAUUUGUGAAUAGGUUUUUUUCUUAUUAUUGAGUUUUGAGAGUUAUUAUUUGUAUAUUUAGGAUAUAAGUCUUUUACCAGAUAUAUGAUUUGCAAAUAGUUUCUCCUGAUUUGUUGUUUGUGUAUUCUCUUGAAAGUGUCCUUCAGAGGCCAGGCACGGUGGCUCACGCUUGUAAUCCCAGCACUCUGGGAGGUUGAGGUGGGUGGAUCACUUGGGGUCAAGAGUUCAAGACCAGCCUGGCCAACAUGGUGAAACCCCAUCUCUACUAAAAAUACAAAAAAAUUAGCUUGGUGGUGGGCACCUGUAAUCCCAGCUACUCAGGAGGCUGAGGCAGGAGAAUCGCUUGAACCCAGGAGGCAGGGAGGUUGCAGGGGCCAGCUGUGGCCACAGGCUGGGGACAGAGGCCAGGUCUGAGGCUGGUCCUCAGUGAGGAGUAAAGGGGAUGGACCGGGAGACAGGGUGCAGGUUUGACACUGAUUUUGCUUUUGGGGAUGGGUCGAGGGAAGAGGCUGAGACUCUGGGCUUGGACAUUGGGUACGGAGGAUGUGACACUAGCAGACAGGCUGGAUCUGGAGGCCUAAGGUGUGCAGUGUGGGGAGCUGUGUGUGCAGGAGAGAUGCAGAGCACUAGGGAGCCUGAACCCCUGCUCCAGUGCACAGGCCUGGCACACGGCAGGGAGGAGGCAGUCACCAUUCCCUGACCCGCCCGGGCCUGGGAGGCAGGGCAGAGCUGGUGACGGGCCAGCGUGGGGCCUUGGAAUGACAUCUGGCAUGUGGCGGUGGAGGGGGGACAUGUAACUGGGGACUGUGGACUCCCAGCUGGAAUCCACCUCCACCUUCCACAUCCACGCACUGCCUUUUGGUCUUUACUGAGCACCUGCUGUGUGCAGGGGCUGCUCUAGCCCCUGGGACCACCAAGGGCCAGCCCUCCGCAACCCCAGCCCUGCAUUCAGCCCCCACCCACUUCCUCCAGAGCCCCACACCCCACAUACUGAGGACUCUAGGCGUUUUCCCACUCUUGAAGGCACUGAGCUGGGAACACCACCUCUGGCCACCAGCUGUGGACUGCAGAGAGGCCUACGGUGACCAGGAAGGGUGGAGCUGCCCAAGGUCAUACAGCAAGCCGGCACUGCACAAGCUGAUCCCAUGGCUGCCCAGCCUUGGGGAAUGGGGGACUUCUGGCAUGUCCCCGAGCUGGCCUCAUCUGGGCCCUGGUAGAAGGCAAAUAAAGGCAACAUCUCAACAAGGUUGUGAUAGCUGGGACAAAUUGAGGACACAGUGCCGGGGAUCCAGGCAAGCAAGGGACAAUCCAGGAAGGCUCCCAGGAGGAGGUGAGGGGCCUGAAGCCCACCCUGGCCUGAGCCCCUCCUCGGUACUCUAGCCUGCCUAGCCCUACCCGCUUCCUCGACGGGCCCCUCACCCAGCCUCAGCCUUGGCCUGACAUUUCCCGUGACAUUUGCUACAAAGAAAUUGAGUCAUAAAUCCAAAGGUUAAAUUUGCACAUCGCCUCAAACUGCUGGGGGAAGCAGUGGUCCCUCCACCCACUGGGCGCCCCGUGGGUGCGGGGUUUGUGUGGCAGGGUCUACCCAUCCUGGGGCACUUGCUGGAGGCCCACAGGUCUCCUCUGGUCCUCCGAGGCACUUCAACCACUGUUUCCCAAAACAGGUUCCUGGGCACACCAGGCCCUGAGGUACAUCGCAUAGGGGUGCCUCUCAGAGAAGGUGCUGCCCACCCCUCUCCAAAACAGAGCCCAAGAUGCCCUGCGGGAAAGGAGCACCAUCAGCACC